GGCCCAGACUCCUACGGGAGGCAGCAGUGGGGAAUAUUGGGCAAUGGGCGAAAGCCUGACCCAGCAACGCCGCGUGAAGGAAGAAGGCUUUCGGGUUGUAAACUUCUUUUGACAGGGAAGAGCAGAAGACGGUACCUGUCGAAUAAGCCACGGCUAACUACGUGCCAGCAGCCGCGGUAAUACGGGGGGUGCAAGCGUUGUCCGGAAUCAUUGGGCGUAAAGCGUUCGUAGGCGGUAUGUCAAGUCUGAUGUUAAAGCCCGGGGCUCAACUCCGGUUCGGCAUUGGAUACUGGCAAACUAGAAUGUGGUAGAGGUAAAGGGAAUUCCUGGUGUAGCGGUGAAAUGCGUAGAUAUCAGGAGGAACAUCGGUGGCGAAAGCGCUUUACUGGACCAUUAUUGACGCUGAGGAACGAAAGCCAGGGGAGCAAAUGGGAUUAGAUACCCCAGUA
rnacentral:rRNA from 1 species